GCACUCUGGCAGGCUGACCCUUGUGAUUUCCCCAAUGUAGUUCUCCCAGUGUAAGACCUGUUCAUUGCUCUCUGAACAGGCUGACCCCUGCAAGCUUCCCUGAAUGCAGGAAACUUGACUGCACAAUUUUGUGGCAAUGGGGGACUGCAUUCAUGUUUCCUUCAU